UCCGAGUUGACCCCGGCAGUCUCCUGCGAGUCCCCGCCAUUACGCGCUGGCAACACAGGACAAGGGUUGCGCUCGUUGCGGGACUUAACCCAACAUCUCACGGCACGAGCUGACGACAGCCAUGCAGCACCUGUCUCCGGUCCAGCCGAACUGAAGGGGUGAGUCUCCUCUCCCCGCGACCAGGAUGUCAAAGGCUGGUAAGGUUCUGCGCGUUGCUUCGAAUUAAUCCACAUGCUCCGCCGCUUGUGCGGGCCCCCGUCAAUUCCUUUGAGUUUCAGCCUUGCGGCCGUACUCCCCAGGCGGGGCACUUAAUGCGCUAGCGCCGGCACCCAGGGGGUCGCUCCCCCAGGCACCUAGUGCCCAUCGUUUACGGCGUGGACUAC
rnacentral:misc_RNA from 1 species